rnacentral:rRNA from 1 species
GACGAACGCUGGCGGCGUGCCUAAUACAUGCAAGUCGAGCGGAUCUUCAUUAGCUUGCUUUUGAAGACCAGCGGCGGACGGGUGAGUAACACGUGGGCAACCUGCCUGUAAGACUGGGAUCACUUCGGGAAACCGGAGCUAAUACCGGAUAAUCCUUUCCCUCACAUGAGGGAAAGCUGAAAGACGGUGUCGGCUUGCACUUACCGAAGGGCCCGCGGCGCAUUAGCUAGUUGGGGAGGUAAUGGCUCACCAAGGCGACGAUGCGUAGCCGACCUGAGAGGGUGAUCGGCCACACUGGGACUGAGACACGGCCCAGACUCCUACGGGAGGCAGCAGUAGGGAAUCUUCCGCAAUGGACGAAAGUCUGACGGAGCAACGCCGCGUGAGCGAUGAAGGCCUUCGGGUCGUAAAGCUCUGUUGUCAGGGAAGAACAAGUAUCGGAGUAACUGCCGGUACCUUGACGGUACCUGACCAGAAAGCCACGGCUAACUACGUGCCAGCCGCCGCGGUAA